UACGUAGGGUGCGAGCGUUAAUCGGAAUUACUGGGCGUAAAGCGUGCGUAGUCGGUUAUUCAAGUCGGGUGUGACAGCCCCGGGCUCACCCUGGGAAUUGCAUUCGAUACUGUUUAGCUAGAGUUCGGCAGAGGGAAGUGGAAUUUCGGGUGUAGCGGUGAAAUGCGUAGAUAUCCGAAGGAACAUCAGUGGCGAAGGCGACUUCCUGGACCAGAACUGACGAUCAGGCACGAAAGCGUGGGGAGCAAACAGG
rnacentral:rRNA from 1 species